UUUGCAAAGUUUGCAAAUUUUGUAUACUUUUGUAUUGCAUGCGAAAAUUGCAAUACAAAAGUAUACAAAAUUUGCAAACUUUGGAAGGCUAU